UACGUAGGGUGCGAGCGUUAAUCGGAAUUACUGGGCGUAAAGCGUGCGCAGGCGGUUUUGUAAGUCAGAUGUGAAAUCCCCGGGCUCAACCUGGGAACUGCGUUUGAAACUACAAGGCUAGAGUGUAGCAGAGGGGGGUAGAAUUCCACGUGUAGCAGUGAAAUGCGUAGAGAUGUGGAGGAACACCGAUGGCGAAGGCAGCCCCCUGGGUCAAGACUGACGCUCAUGCACGAAAGCGUGGGGAGCAAACAGG
rnacentral:rRNA from 1 species